rnacentral:rRNA from 1 species
CCUACGGGUGGCAGCAGUGAGGAAUAUUGGUCAAUGGCCGGAAGGCUGAACCAGCCAAGCCGCGUGAAGGACGAAGGUGCCAUGCAUUGUAAACUUCUUUUGUCAAGGGACAAAAUCAGGCUCGAGCGCCUUACCGCGGGUACUUUAAGAAAAAGCAUCGGCUAACUCCGUGCCAGCAGCCGCGGUAAUACGGAGGAUCCGAGCGUUAUCCGGUUUUAUUGGGUUUAAAGGGUGCGUAGGCGGACUGUUAAGUCAGCGGUAAAAGCCCGGGGCUCAACCCAAGCCAGCCGUUGAAACUGGCGGUCUUGAGAUGGCGAGAGGUAGGCGGAAUGCGCAGUGUAGCGGUGAAAUGCUUAGAUAUUGCGCAGAACUCCGAUUGCGAAGGCAGCAUACCGGCGGCGAUCUGACGCUGAGGCACGAAAGCGUGGGUAUCGAACAGGAUUAGAUACCCCGGUAGUC